CAGCAGCCGCGGGAAUACAGAGGGUGCGAGCGUUAAUCGGAUUUACUGGGCGUAAAGCGUGCGUAGGCGGCUUCUUAAGUCGGAUGUGAAAUCCCUGAGCUUAACUUAGGAAUUGCAUUCGAUACUGGGAAGCUAGAGUAUGGGAGAGGAUGGUAGAAUUCCAGGUGUAGCGGUGAAAUGCGUAGAGAUCUGGAGGAAUACCGAUGGCGAAGGCAGCCAUCUGGCCUAAUACUGACGCUGAGGUACGAAAGCAUGGGGAGCAAACAGGAUUAGAUACCCCCGUAUCCCUGUCUCUUAUACA
rnacentral:rRNA from 1 species